UACAGAGGUCUCAAGCGUUGUUCGGAUUUCAUUGGGCGUAAAGGGUGCGUAGGCGGGCGCGGUAAGUCGGGGUGUGAAAUCUCGGAGCUUUAACUCCGAAACUGCAUUCGAUACUGCCGUGCUUUGAGGACUGGAGAGGAGACUGGAAUUUACGGUGUAGCGGUGAAAUGCGUAGAUAUCGUAAGGAAGACCAGUGGCAAGGCGGGGU
rnacentral:rRNA from 1 species